rnacentral:misc_RNA from 1 species
UUUCCGUAGGUGAACCUGCGGAAGGUUCAUUACUGAGUGAGGGCUCUCUGGGUCCAACCUCCCACCCGUGUUUAUUAUACCUUGUUGCUUCGGUGAGCCCGCCUCACGGCCGCCGGGGGGCAUCUGCCCCCGGGCCCGCGCCCACCGAAGACACCUAGAGCUCUGUAUGAAGAUUGCAGUCUGAGCAAAAACUAAAUAAGUUAAAACUUUCAACAACGGAUCUCUUGGUUCCG